AAAAUCAGUGUUUUAGUAUGUGCUACACAGAGCUGCAGGAAACAUGUGAAAGAGCCACUUGCAGCUGCCAAGCCUCAGUUUGAGUAUCACUGCUGUACCCAAGUUGUAGAUGACAAAAAUUUUACAUGGAGAUAGUGUAACUUGCCUAAAGCCAUACAGCAGGUCUAGUCUCUAUUCUCAACUCCGCCACAGAAGUUCUGCCUCCUUGUAAUUUCACCUCUAGAGACCCCUCUUAAAGUUCUGCUUAGCGAUCACACAUUGGCAGCCUCAGUUUACUAGAUGGACUGUGCUAAAUUGUAAUGGUUGAUUUCCUGUGAGCAUGGAAGCACUGCUUGGAUUGGAAACAGAACUAUUUGUUCAAUACAGGUGUAGAGAGAACUUGAGUUCCAGUCUUAUUAGCUUCAUAACUUAAUAUGGCAAGUAAUGAUUAGCAUGGUUUUGCCACUGUUCUGUCUGCACAAGCA